UUUGUCGUUCAAGCAAGUGGUGACGAUUUCAUGACCAGGAAAGUGAAGAGACAGAGAGACAAGGAGAAAUCGAAAGAGAGAGGAGGAUGGAGAUCAGGAAAUAAGAGGGGGGCCUAUCGAUGAUGGGGACGACCGUAAAACUGCGUCUUCAGGCGGCGGCGAUGAUGGUUUGAUGAACACCUGUUACACAGAUUAAUUCAUGCACUAGGACUAAUAUGGAUCUGCUAUGGUUUAAAAAAUCUCGUGGAACAAACCCUGCGCAUUAUUAUCCAACAAAUUUCAAGGAAAAUCGAGCAAAUUUCAGGGUUGAAAUUGACAUUUGUCUUUCUGCAGAUGAACCGUUGGGUUUCCCUCGAUUUUAAGACACCGCCAGUGAUGGUAGCGAUGGGUUGCUUGGAUUGAACAUCUGGCCUAUUUGAUGACGAUUAGGGUCCAGAGUAGGCGAUUCACAACUCUAAGUAAUUCCCCCUAAAAUUAGAUUACGACGACGAUGAAGCCGUUGUCGAUCCGGAUAUCAUCCCUGACGAACCAGAAGAUAUCGGUGAUGAAGAAGGUGAAGGUGAAGGCGAAGAUCUGUACGGCGAUAAUUACAUCAAUGAUUACCGGAGGAUGGAAGAGCACGAUCAGUAUGAAUCGGUUGGAUUGGAUGAAUCGCUUGAGGACGAGAGAGAUCUGGAUCAGAUUAUGGCGGAUCGUAGGGCUGCAGAGAUGGAACUUGAUGCUAGAGUCGGUGUUGCUUCUCAACGGAAGCUUCAUCAUCUGCUUCAUGAUCAAGGUACAACUUUGAUCCGGUGAUGAGAAGCCGUCUAUGGUGGUACAACUUUGAUCCGGUGAUGAGAAGCCGUCUUGGUUGGUGCAUUGAAUGGCUUCAAGCAAACUUUCUUGUGCUUGAUGAUAUCAUGGAUGAGUCUCAUACAAACAGAGAGAACUUCAUGACAGGAUAUCAGUUGGUUUUUUAUAGGGAAAAUCUUACACUCGGAUGCUCACACUCAAGAUUUGGAUCUUUAUCUGCUAUCCGAGAAAUGGAAGGCGCUUAUAGAGAAUGCGCAGUCAAAGAAACUUCAACCCUAUGGACGUAUAUCAUUAAAGUAUAUUAUUUGAGAACGGGAUUGGAUCGAAGUAUAUGGACAUGUACAAAUCCCUAAUAUCGUUAAUGUUAAUAAAGUUGUAAAUAAACCUACUUUUAUUGUUUUGAUGAAAAUUUGUUAUGGUUU